UCCUACGGGAGGCAGCAGUAGGGAAUCUUCCGCAAUGGGCGAAAGCCUGACGGAGCAACGCCGCGUGAGUGAUGAAGGUCUUCGGAUCGUAAAACUCUGUUAUCAGGGAAGAACAAAUGUGUAAGUAACUGUGCACAUCUUGACGGUACCUGAUCAGAAAGCCACGGCUAACUACGUGCCAGCAGCCGCGGUAAUACGUAGGUGGCAAGCGUUAUCCGGAAUUAUUGGGCGUAAAGCGCGCGUAGGCGGUUUUUUAAGUCUGAUGUGAAAGCCCACGGCUCAACCGUGGAGGGUCAUUGGAAACUGGAAAACUUGAGUGCAGAAGAGGAAAGUGGAAUUCCAUGUGUAGCGGUGAAAUGCGCAGAGAUAUGGAGGAACACCAGUGGCGAAGGCGACUUUCUGGUCUGUAACUGACGCUGAUGUGCGAAAGCGUGGGGAUCAAACAGGAUUAGAUACCCUGGUAGUCCACGCCGUAAACGAUGAGUGCUAAGUGUUAGGGGGUUUCCGCCCCUUAGUGCUGCAGCUAACGCAUUAAGCACUCCGCCUGGGGAGUACGACCGCAAGGUUGAAACUCAAAGGAAUUGACGG
rnacentral:rRNA from 1 species